rnacentral:misc_RNA from 1 species
GUGAAUCAUCGAAUCUUUGAACGCAUAUUGCACUCUCUGGUAUUCCGGAGAGUAUGCCUAUUUGAGGGUCAGUUGAAAUAAUAUAAAUUCCAAGAUUUCUCGGAAUUUAAAAUGGGUGGUCCAUUUGUUGUGGUCGCCUAAAAUCCAAGACAAGCUCAUUUUCUUGGGUUGCGUGAUACUUUCAAUUACCUCUGGACUAACCCAGAAAUAAGCGGG